GAGCGCGUAGCUCAGUUGGCUAGAGCGCCACCUUGACACGGUGGAGGUCGUUGGUUCGAGCCCAAUCGCGCUCACCA
rnacentral:tRNA from 1 species